CGUAGGGUGCGAGCGUUAAUCGGAAUUACUGGGCGUAAAGCGUGCGCAGGCGGUUUUGUAAGACAGAUGUGAAAUCCCCGGGCUCAACCUGGGACCUGCAUUUGUGACUACAAGGCUAGAGUACGGUAGAGGGGGAUGGAAUUCCGCGUGUAGCAGUGAAAUGCGUAGAUAUGCGGAGGAACACCGAUGGCGAAGGCAAUCCCCUGGACCUGUACUGACGCUCAUGCACGAAAGCGUGGGGAGCAAACAGGAUUAGAUACCCUGGUAGUCCACGCCCUAAACGAUGUCAACUGGUUGUUGGGUCUUUACUGACUCAGUAACGAAGCUAACGCGUGAAGUUGACCGCCUGGGGAGUACGGCCGCAAGGUUG
rnacentral:rRNA from 1 species